rnacentral:rRNA from 1 species
AGUACGUGAAACUGCUCAGAGGUAAACGGGUGGGCCCUCGAAAGCCACCUGCGGGGGGAUUCAGUCGGAGAUCUGGUUCGACGACCACUGUCGCCGGUUCGGACGCCCUAGGUCGGGCCGCGGUCGUCCUCCGGGUACUCGACGCAUUUCCCUCCGCACUGUGGACGCCGCAGCCCGUUGGGGGCCGGCCAUGAGGACGUGCGCCGGCAGUUGGCGGGAGGCGUGUAAAAUCGCGUCCCCCGUUGUUAGCCAGCGCGUUCCGGGCGCGGUACCCGACGGAGGUCAAAGUUCCCUAGUCCCGGGGAACCAGCCGUCCCCUCCAUCGUAGAGCGAGCACUGUCUCAGGUGUCGAGCGUACCUAGGCCGUCGACUCACCCCUGGGCGGUGACCGACGGCGCGCGCGCACCGGUGUCGGGACGGGCGUCUCGCCGAGGGUAGACGACGGCUGGCGGCGAGUAGGUCGGUAACCCACCCGACCCGUCUUGAAACACGGACCAAGGAGUCUAACAUGUGCGCGAGUCAGUGGGUCUUGACCAGGCCCACGGGCGGAAUGAAAGUAAAGGUCGACCUCAGUCGUCGACCGCGUUGGGAUCCCUUUAAUUCUUUAAAGGGCGCACCAACGGCUCGUCCGGUCCGAUUUAUCGGUCGGCCGAAGCGAGAGCGCAUACGUUGGGACCCGAAAGAUGGUGAACUAUGCGUGGGCAGGGUGAAGUCAGGGGAAACCCUGGUGGAAGCCCGCAGC